UUACUUGAAAAGAAAAGAGUACCCGACCU
rnacentral:piRNA from 1 species